UGAAAAAAAAGAAAGAGAAAAGAAAAAAGAACAUGAACAAAAAAGAGAAAAAGAGAAAAGAUAAAAAGAAAAAAGAUAAAGAAAGAGAAAAGAAAAAAGAAAAUAGAAAUAAAAAAGAGGACAGAAAAAUAUGAAAAAAAAAAAAAAGAAAAAAAAACAGUAGAAAAAAAUGAAAAAAAAAAAAAACAAAGGAAAAACGAAUAAUGACAAGAGAAGAAAGGUAAAGAGAAAAGAAGAAAAAGCCAAGUCAAAAAGUAAAGAAUAACUCGAAGGAAGGAGUGGAUGGCAAGAAAUAGAGAGAAAGCAGUGCAUAGCACAGCAGAGCAAAGCAAGGCAAAAUAGCAGCCAAAGCCACGAGAAUCAAGAAGUCAGUGAAGAGCAGGAAAGGUAAGUUUCCCUUAAAGCAAGGGGGAAUGGUAGUGGAAGGGAAAAGAGAGGGGAGGGGAGGGGAAGUGAAGGAGUGGGGGGAGAGGGGGAGGAGCAGUGGGGAAAGCGGUGGGGCUAGAGGGGGGUGAGGGGGCAAGAGGGGGGAGGGAGGAGGGGUGGAGAGGGGGGUGAGUAAGUGGGGGCGUGGGUGGACGGGGGGGGGGGGGGAGAGGGUGGAAGGAAAAAUUGGAGGUAGGGUGAGGGAAGGGGAGGGUUGAAGGGAAAAUAAUGAAACAGAGGAAAAAAGAGAAUAACAAGUAAAAAGCAAUGCAUGUAAAUACAGAGCAAGCAAGUAGGAAAGCUAGGCAUAGCACAGCAAAAGAGAGCAAAGCAAAAGAAGGCAAAGAAUGACAAAAAGCAACCUUGCAGGAAUGGAGGAAUCUGUCCAGAGCUGUGCCCCUGCUUGCCACAGGAGCUGCGCGGGAGGAGAAGAACGUGGGCCAAAAGGAAUGGAGGAAUCUGUCCAGAGCUGUGCCCCUGCUUGCCACAGGAGCUGCGCGGGAGGAGAAGAACGUGGGCCAAAAGGUAAGAGGAGCUCCUUUGGGUUCUGGGCUUGAAGCAAAGCUGAGAAGCCAUGCCCGGGAGGAGGUGUGGGUAGCUACAGGCCACCUUGCUAUCUCCCCAAGAGAUGAGGUGUGUGGGCUAGGCACCGGGCAGGAGUGCUGGCCAGAAGCAAGCAUCUCUGUGGAGGAAGGCAAAGGGCGGAGGAGGUUCAAGGGUAGCUACCGGGCAUGGCCUUGCUCAGCAAGGGGAGGAAAAGCCUGAAGGGCACGAGAAGGGGAUAGAGAAGGGCAGGCAGUAGGCGUGAAGCUGCGAGCAGAGUAGAGAGCAACUUGGCAGAGCAGCAAGCAGAGUAGGCAAGUGUGAGGUUUGGCGUGAGUAGCAGCAAAAGCCCAGAGCAUCAAGAAGCAGGAAGUGAGGAGAAGGUAAGUGAAGGGCAGGCAAGGUAAUGGGAGGCAAAGGCAAGGGGAAAGGGGGGGUAAGGGAGAAAGAAGGGAUGGGGAUGGGGAGGGGAUGGGUGAAGAGCAGAGCGGAGGGAAGGGCUGAGGGGAGGGCUGAAGGCAAACCUAUGAUGAAAAAAGAAAAGAAAAAAUAAGAACAAAAAAUAUGAAAAAGAGAAAAAAGAAAAGAAAAAUAAGAAAAAGAGAAAAAAUGAAAAGAAAAAAGAAAAAAAUGAACAAAAAAGAGUAAAAGAGAAAAAAUGAAAAAAAGAAAAAAGAGAAAAGAAAAAAAAAAAUGAACAAAAAAGAGAAAAAGAGAAAGAAAUGAAAAAAAAGAAAAAGAGAAAAGAAAAAGAAAUGAACAAAAAGAGAAAAAGAGAAAAGAUAAAAAAAGAAAAAAGAUAAAGAAAAAAAAGAAAAAAGAAAAUAGAAAUAAAAAAGAGGACAGAAAAAUAUGAAAAAAAGAAAAAAAGAAAAGAAAAAACAGUAGAUGAAAAAAGAAAAACAAAGGAAAAACGAAUAAUGACAAGAGAAGAAAGGUAAAGAGAAAAGAAGAAAAAGCCAAGUCAAAAAGUAAAGAAUAACUCGAAGGAAGGAGUGGAUGGCAAGAAAUACAGAGAAAGCAGUGCAUAGCACAGCAGAGCAAAGCAAGGCAAAAUAGCAGCCAAAGCCACGAGAAUCAAGAAGUCAGUGAAGAGCAGGAAAGGUAAGUUUCCCUUAAAGCAAGGGGGAAUGGUAGUGGGGGAGAAAAGAGGGGGAGGGGAGGGGAAGUGAAGGAGUGGGGGGAGAGGGGGAGGAGCAGUGGGGAAAGCGGUGGGGCUAGAGGGGGGUGAGGGGGCAAGAGGGGGGAGGGAGGAGGGGUGGAGAGGGGGUGAGUAAGUGGGGGCGUGGGUGGACGGGGGGGGGGGGGGGAGAGAGGGUGGAAGGAAAAAUUGGAGGUAGGGUGAGGGAAGGGGAGGGUUGAAGGGAAAAUAAUGAAACAGAGGAAAAAAGAGAAUAACAAGUAAAAAGCAAUGCAUGUAAAUACAGAGCAAGCAAGUAGGAAAGCUAGGCAUAGCACAGCAAAAGAGAGCAAAGCAAAAGAAGGCAAAGAAUGACAAAAAGCAACCUUGCAGGAAUGGAGGAAUCUGUCCAGAGCUGUGCCCCUGCUUGCCACAGGAGCUGCGCGGGAGGAGAAGAACGUGGGCCAAAAGGUAAGAGGAGCUCCUUUGGGUUCUGGGCUUGAAGCAAAGCUGAGAAGCCAUGCCCGGGAGGAGGUGUGGGUAGCUACAGGCCACCUUGCUAUCUCCCCAAGAGAUGAGGUGUGUGGGCUAGGCACCGGGCAGGAGUGCUGGCCAGAAGCAAGCAUCUCUGUGGAGGAAGGCAAAGGGCGGAGGAGGUUCAAGGGUAGCUACCGGGCAUGGCCUUGCUCAGCAAGGGGAGGAAAAGCCUGAAGGGCACGAGAAGGGGAUAGAGAAGGGCAGGCAGUAGGCGUGAAGCUGCGAGCAGAGUAGAGAGCAACUUGGCAGAGCAGCAAGCAGAGUAGGCAAGUG
rnacentral:lncRNA from 7 species